UACUCAUCGUUGUAUCCCUCACUGAGGGUAAUUUAGUAUUGUUAAAAUUAUAGGUACUUAAUAAAUGUCUAACCUCCCAUUCCAGUGAGACUUCCCCGAGGCUAUGAGUCAUGGAGCAAAGGAGAAACAAAGAAUAAAGAUCACCUGGAAACAAGGGAUAGUCCUUAUGAUCAAACUCCAAGGAAGAUGUGCUCCUUGGAGAAUUCAAAGAAAGGAUGGCAUUCAAAGAGAUGAAUCAGAAACAGGAAUCGUCAGUGCACAGUUCAGAUUUAAGUGAAUGAAGUGCUCCUGGGACUCUCUUUGGAUAGAUGACUACAACGUGCUAUUGCUCCUCUGCCAUGAAAUUACUGACAUAAACAGACUCAAAUCCACCUUCCUUGGAAGGACCCAUAUGGAAAGGUGUAUACACAGACAAGAUAUCUGGGGUGGGAGGCGUGACCACCCAGAGCUUUACUGAUUCCUGUCCUGGCCUCACUCUCCUCAGUCAUUAUGCUGCUCCAGGCUGCCCACGGUUCCCCACCUUGAUGAUCCAGGGACUUUUUGUUGAAUUUACCAGUCCACCCUGCAGAGCCCGCUCUCCCAUCUGGGUAACACUGGGUGAAGGGAAGCAACAUCUUACUUCUAGCAAAUAAUUCAUUUGCCUUUGUAACAG
rnacentral:lncRNA from 1 species